UACGUAGGGUGCGAGCGUUAAUCGGAUUUACUGGGCGUAAAGGGCGCGCAGGCGGCCAUUUUUGUCAGGCGUGAAAGCCCCGGGCUUAACCUGGGAAUUGCGUUUGAAACUGGGAGACUUGAGUGUGGCAGAGGGGGGUGGAAUUCCACGUGUAGCAGUGAAAUGCGUAGAUAUGUGGAGGAACACCGAUGGCGAAGGCAGCCCCCUGGGCUAACACUGACGCUCAUGCACGAAAGCGUGGGGAGCAAACAGG
rnacentral:rRNA from 1 species